AGUGUAGAGGUGAAAUUCGUAAAUAUUAGGAGGAACACCAGUGGCGAAGGCGUCUAUCUGGUUCAAAUCUGACGCUGAGGCGCGAAGGCGUGGGGAGCAAACAGGAUUAGAUACCNUGGUAGUCCACGCUGUAAACGAUGAAUGUUAAAUAUGGGAAGUUUUACUUUCUGUAUUACAGCUAACGCGUUAAACAUUCCGCCUGGGGACUACGGUCGCAAGAUUAAAACUCAAAGGAAUUGACGGGGACCCGCACAAGCGGUGGAGCAUGUGGUUUAAUUCGAUGCAACGCGAAAAACCUUACCACUCCUUGACAUGGAAAUUAUACCUAUUCGAAGGGAUAGGGUCGGUUCGUCCGGGUUUCACACAGGUGUUGCAUGGCUGUCGUCAGCUCGUGUCGUGAGAUGUUGGGUUAAGUCCCGCAACGAGCGCAACCCUCAUCCUUAGUUACCAUCAGGUAAUGCUGGGGACUUUAAGGAAACUGCCAGUGAUAAACUGGAGGAAGGUGGGGAUGAUGUCAAGUCAUCAUGGCCCUUAUGGAGUGGGCUACACACGUGCUACAAUGGUGGCUACAAUGGGCUGCAAAGUCGCGAGGCUAAGCUAAUCCCUUAAAAGCCAUCUCAGUUCGGAUUGUACUCUGCAACUCGAGUGCAUGAAGUUGGAAUCGCUAGUAAUCGUGGAUCAGCACGCCACGGUGAAUACGUUCUCGGGUCUUGUACACACUGCCCGUCACGCCAUGGGAAUUGGUUUCACUCGAAGCUAACGACCUAACCGCAAGGAGGGAGUUAUUUAAAGUGGGAUCGGUGACUGGGGUGAAGCCGUAACAAGGUAGCAGUAGGGGAAUCUGCGG
rnacentral:rRNA from 1 species